ACUCCCCCCUCCCGCCCCCUGAAAGGUCCCUUUUUGGAAUAUCUGCACUGUGCCAGGACCAGCACUGCCAGGAAGAGUGCAGGACAAUUUGUUUUCUUGUUUUCUGUUUGGGAGACUCGUCUGCACUGGUCGGUUCUCUCUCAGGUCACAGGGGACCAAACCAUUGGGCUUGUCAGCGAGUCCUUCCAUACCUGUUAUUUUAAAAUAGUGUUCAGUUCCGGUGGCUAAAAGCACAAAUCCUGGAGCCGGAUUGCCUAAAUGCCCUCAAAAGGUGCCAGGCUCCAUGCCAGGCUGUGAACACCCGGGAGGAAUAAGGCAAUACCCCCAUCUUCCACAAGAGGCAAACACCCAGCUAACAGUUCUGUGGCCACGUGGUAAGAGGUUUGCGGACGAAAGCCCUGGGAGACGAAUUUCCUUCAAGACUUAGCUGGGAAAACGUUUGAUGAUUUAGUGUUUAGAGGGAUCACUACCUUAGUGGUGAGGGUCUUGGGCUCUGGGGUCAGACUGCUUGGGUUUAGAUCUCAGCCCCACCGCUGCCCCACCGUAUGAUCUUGGCUAAGUCCUUGACCUGGCAUUGCCUCCUUUUCUCCAUCUGUAAAAAGAAGAGAAUAAUGACAUCAGCCUCAUGGGGUCCUUGUAAGAAUUAAACGAACUACUGGUGAUAAAUAACCUUGACUGUCCGUGAACCCUCAGUAUACAUGAGUUGUCAUUGACAUGAUG
rnacentral:lncRNA from 1 species